CCCAGGAGGCAGAGAGCAGGAAACCCCUGGCCCUAGCACUUGAUCACCUCAGCAGAGACCCGUCCCUCUGUUCUGCCUGUGCUUUCCUUAUUCUGGAAUUCCACUUUCCUCUUGAUUUCCAGUAGCGGAGAGUGGAAGGAGAGGGCAGGUGUUGCAAGUGUGACUGGUCACCAGGAAGUCUUCGCUGAAUGAAUGCUCCUGCCGCCGUGUUCUUCACAUCAGGAAACUAAGUCAGAGCAGAGCUGUCCCCAAGGGAGGUGCUGAAGCACAGUGACUCGCCAAGCUUCAGGGAAGGCCAGACGUGGGUCUCAUCCUCAGCUGGGAGGGGCCCCCGACGUCAUCUAAUACAGCCCCGUUUUCUCAGGGUCGAGAACCGGGGCCCACAGGAGGUUUACCUGAGGUCACCCCAGAGGCAGGACUGGAACCCAGCUCCCCUAGGACCAAAAACAGAAUUUUCUCCAUGGCUCACCCACUGGCAUCCUGGUCUGAAAGGAGUGGAGGGGAAGACAGAGGCUGGAACGCAGGGGUGUGGCCCCCGAGACAUAUAGCCUCUUUCUGAGGUCACUCGAUCAAGGCCUUUCCUCCUGCUUAAACCAAUAUCUCUGGCAGGCCCCCCUUGGGAAUGCCAUUUCGUGUUGGCAAAAGCUGCCAAUCCAGAUGCUUCUUCUAGCUUCCUGUGACAUUCGAGGAAACUGGAGCUGUGUAUGUCAAACAGAAGAAAGUGAUUCAGAGAAAGAAACACAGACACCAGAGGUGAACGGGAUGAGAGCACGGUUCACAAAGAAGCACUAACUGUGGGCCUUCCAUCUGCCAGUCUGUCCAAGAUUACGUACCCUGAGGGCUACAGUCUGAAAUGUUCUGGUCUGUUUCCACUUAUCCAGUCCCACUAGGAGACAGACUUCCUCUGGAGUCUUGCCUGUGAACAGCAUCAGCCCCAGAAAGAUCAAGAGAGUGACAUGUACAAGCAAUGUUUGGGCUGAGUCAAGGAUGGUACAGGAGGGGCUGGAAAAUGGAGCAUGUGAAGAACAUUCCAAGCCAAGAAGGAGUAUGAGGGUCCGAUGAGGGGAAUAAGCAAGAUGCAGAUCAACUUCAUUUAUUCAUUCAUCCACUCACUCAACCCAUAUUCUCUUCCCUUGGAAGUGGUAGUGAGGGUAGGAGAAGGUGCAAAUGAUAAAAACUCAAUAGAUAAUGCCAUGCCAAACCCUUUUGUCCACAUUAUGGCUUCUCCAAGACUGCCUGGGGAGUCGAUGUGAAACCUGGGUUGCAUUCUUCCUGCGCCCAGCACAGCUGUGCUUCACCAACCACUCCUGGAGAG
ensembl:lncRNA